UACGAAGGUGGCAAGCGUUGUUCGGAUUCACUGGGCGUACAGGGUGUGUAGGCGGUUUGGUAAGCCUUCUGUUAAAGCUUCGGGCCCAACCCGGAAAGCGCAGAGGGUACUGCCAGGCUAGAGGGUGGGAGAGGAGCGCGGAAUUCCCGGUGUAGCGGUGGAAUGCGUAGAGAUCGGGAAGAACAUCAGUGGCGAAGGCGACGUGCUGGGCUGCACCUGACGCUGAGAUGCGAAAGUGUGGGGAGCAAAC
rnacentral:rRNA from 1 species